rnacentral:rRNA from 1 species
UACGUAGGGUGCGAGCGUUAAUCGGAAUUACUGGGCGUAAAGCGUGCGCAGGCGGCGCGUUAAGACAGAUGUGAAACCCCCGGGCUUAACCUGGGAAUUGCAUUUGUGACUGCACGGCUAGAGUGUGUCAGAGGGGGGUAGAAUUCCACGUGUAGCAGUGAAAUGCGUAGAUAUGUGGAGGAAUACCGAUGGCGAAGGCAGCCCCCUGGGAUAACACUGACGCUCAUGCACGAAAGCGUGGGGAGCAAACAGG